UACGUAGGAGGCAAGCGUUGUCCGGAAUCACUGGGCGUAAAGAGUGUGUAGGCGGUGUUCUAAGUCUGUUGUGAAAUCUCCCGGCUUAACUGGGAGGGUGCGGCGGAAACUGGAAUGCUAGAGGAUGGGAGAGGUAAGCGGAAUUCCUGGUGUAGCGGUGAAAUGCGCAGAUAUCAGGAGGAACACCGGUGGCGAAGGCGGGUCUCUGGGCCGAUACUGACGCUGAGGAGCGAAAGCGUGGGGAGCGAACAGG
rnacentral:rRNA from 1 species